rnacentral:rRNA from 1 species
GGGAUAUGAAAUCUGCGGGCAUCCGCGGAUUUGGAAAGUUUUUCGGUUGAAGAUGAUCUCGCGGCCUAUCAGCUUGUUGGUGAGGUAAUGGCUCACCAAGGCGACGACGGGUAGCCGGCCUGAGAGGGCGACCGGCCACACUGGGACUGAGACACGGCCCAGACUCCUACGGGAGGCAGCAGUGGGGAAUAUUGGGCAAUGGAGGAAACUCUGACCCAGCGACGCCGCGUGCGGGAUGAAGGCCUUCGGGUUGUAAACCGCUUUCAGCAGGGAAGAAGCGAAAGUGACGGUACCUGCAGAAGAAGCACCGGCUAACUAUGUGCCAGCAGCCGCGGUAAUACAUAGGGUGCAAGCGUUGUCCGGAAUUAUUGGGCGUAAAGAGCUCGUAGGUGGUUCGUCACGUCGGAUGUGAAACUCUGGGGCUUAACCCCAGACCUGCAUUCGAUACGGGCGAGCUUGAGUAUGGUAGGGGAGUCUGGAAUUCCUGGUGUAGCGGUGGAAUGCGCAGAUAUCAGGAGGAACACCAAUGGCGAAGGCAGGACUCUGGGCCAUUACUGACACUGAGGAGCGAAAGCGUGGGGAGCGAACAGGAUUAGAUACCCUGGUAGUCCACGCCGUAAACGGUGGGCACUAGUUGUGGGGACCUUCCACGGUCUCUGCGACGCAGCUAACGCAUUAA